UACGUGGGGUGCAAGCGUUAAUCGGAAUUACUGGGCGUAAAGCGUGCGCAGGCGGCUUUGCAAGACAGAUGUGAAAUCCCCGGGCUCAACCUGGGAACUGCAUUUGUGACUGCAUGGCUGGAGUGCGGCAGAGGGGGAUGGAAUUCCGCGUGUAGCAGUGAAAUGCGUAGAUAUCGAGAGGAACACCUGCGGCGAAGGCGGGUAGCUGGGCCGACACUGACGCUGAGGCGCGAAAGCCAGGGGAGCGAACGGG
rnacentral:rRNA from 1 species